CACUGUGAAUAACUUUUAUAUUGUGUGUUUUUUUUUUAAUAAUUACAAGACAGACUGUCAUCGUGAAAGAACUUGGAAUUUUGUAAAUGUAGUGUACAAACGAAAUAUGAUCAACUGGAUAAUUCAUAGCCUGCAUCAAGGAAAUAGGAGGGUGACGCAACAAACUGAAGGAUUCAUACUCUGCAAUCCCAUAAUAGGAGGGUCUGGCAAUACACUGGGGGAGAUUCGUA
rnacentral:lncRNA from 1 species